AGAACGAACGCUGGCGGCAGGCUUAACACAUGCAAGUCGAACGCUCGUAGCAAUACGGGAGUGGCAGACGGGUGAGUAACGCGUGGGAACAUACCCUCCGGUUCGGAAUAGCUCAGGGAAACUUGGAUUAAUACCGGAUACGGCCGAGAGGCGAAAGAUUUAUCGCCGGAGGAUUGGCCCGCGUUCGAUUAGCUAGUUGGUGAGGUAACGGCUCACCAAGGCGAUGAUCGAUAGCUGGUCUGAGAGGAUGAUCAGCCACAUUGGGACUGAGACACGGCCCAAAACUCCUACGGGAGGCAGCAGUGGGGAAUAUUGGACAAUGGGCGCAAGCCUGAUCCAGCCAUGCCGCGUGAGUGAUGACGGCCUUAGGGUUGUAAAGCUCUUUCGCUCGGGACGAUAAUGACGGUACCGAGAUAAGAAGCCCCGGCUAACUUCGCGCCAGCAGCCGC
rnacentral:rRNA from 1 species